rnacentral:rRNA from 1 species
GUGGGGGAUAUUGCACAAUGGGGGAAACCCUGAUGCAGCGACGCCGCGUGGAGGAAGAAGGUCUUCGGAUUGUAAACUCCUGUCCGAGGGGACGAUAAUGACGGUACCCUUGGAGGAAGCACCGGCUAACUACGUGCCAGCAGCCGCGGUAAAACGUAGGGUGCAAGCGUUGUCCGGAAUUACUGGGUGUAAAGGGAGCGCAGGCGGACUGUCAAGUUGGGAGUGAAAACUACGGGCUCAACCCGUAACUUGCUUUCAAAACUGGCGGUCUUGAGUGGUGUAGAGGUAGGCGGAAUUCCCGGUGUAGCGGUGGAAUGCGUAGAUAUCGGGAGGAACACCAGUGGCGAAGGCGGCCUACUGGGCACUAACUGACGCUGAGGCUCGAAAGCAUGGGUAGCAAACAGG